rnacentral:lncRNA from 1 species
AAACGGUUGUCUGCCCUAUCAUUGAUGUGAUUAGUGAUGAUACUUUUGAAUAUAUGGCUGGGUCAGACAUGACUUAUGGGGGUUUUAACUGGAAACUGAAUUUCCGCUGGUAUCCUGUUCCCCAAAGAGAAAUGGACAGGAGGAAAGGAGACAGAACAUUACCUGUCAGGACCCCUACUAUGGCUGGUGGCCUAUUUUCUAUUGACAGAAACUACUUUGAAGAGAUAGGAACUUACGAUGCAGGAAUGGAUAUCUGGGGUGGAGAGAAUCUUGAAAUGUCUUUUAGGGUAAUUGCAUUUUAUUUUAUUUUUUGACGCUGAACAUACAAUGCUGUAGCAUGCACAUACCAGACCCAGUAAUUUACUGUCAAAUCAUUUUUGCUGAGUGAUGCAAAUUACUGAUCAAUUGGUCAUCUUAAUUCACAUUUAGAUUUGACAGAGCCCUAUUGCAUGCAAU